GUACCCGUGGCUCAAUUGGAUAGAGCGUCUGGCUACGGACCAGAAGGUUGGGGGUUCGAGUCCCUCCGGGUACGCCA
rnacentral:tRNA from 1 species